rnacentral:rRNA from 1 species
AUACGUAGGGUGCGAGCGUUGUCCGGAAUUACUGGGCGUAAAGAGCUCGUAGGCGGCCCGGUAAGUCUGGAGUGAAAGUCCUGUUUUUAAGAUGGGAAUUGCUUUGGAUACUGUCGGGCUUGAGUGCAGGAGAGGUAAGUGGAAUUCCCAGUGUAGCGGUGAAAUGCGUAGAGAUUGGGAGGAACACCAGUGGCGAAGGCGACUUACUGGACUGUAACUGACGCUGAGGCGCGAAAGUGUGGGGAGCAAACAGGAUUAGAUACCCUGGUAGUCCACACUGUAAACGAUGAAUGCUAGGUGUAGGGGGUAUCGACCCCUUCUGUGCCGCAGUCAACACAAUAAGCAUUCCGCCUGGGGAGUACGGCCGCAAGGUUGAAACUCAAAGGAAUUGACGGGG